UACGAAGGGGGCUAGCGUUGUUCGGAAUCACUGGGCGUAAAGCGCACGUAGGCGGAUUGUUAAGUCGGGGGUGAAAUCCUGAGGCUCAACCUCAGAACUGCCUCCGAUACUGGCAAUCUCGAGUUCGGAAGAGGUUGGUGGAACAGCUAGUGUAGAGGUGAAAUUCGUAGAUAUUAGCUAGAACACCAGUGGCGAAGGCGGCCAACUGGGCCGAUACUGACGCUGAGGUGCGAAAGCGUGGGGAGCAAACAGG
rnacentral:rRNA from 1 species